rnacentral:lncRNA from 1 species
AAGUGCCCACAGGGCGGUGUGCCCUUAAUGGACUCUCGGGAGUGUGAUUCUGGAUCUACCUUGGUGAAACUUUCUGUCACUGUAGUGAGCCUUCGUCUGCUGCGACCAUAAUCCCAAAGACCAAUAGGGCGGAAUACCCUUCUCAGUCAAUCAAUCAGGAAAAUGGCUGUUGGGUCUUCAUCUACUCUGCUUCGACCAUAAUCCCGAAGACCAAUAGGGCAGAAUACCCUUCUCAGUCAAUCAAUCAGGAAAAUGGCUGUUAGGUCUUCAUCUACUCUGCUUCGACCAUAAUCCCGAAGACCAAUAGGGCGUAAUACCCUUCUUGGUCAAUCAAUCAGGAAAAUGGCUGUUGGGUCUGCUUCGAUCCCGAGGAAGGCCUCGAGACAUGUCUUUAAAGUGUAGACUUCUUUCUAACUUGAUCGGUCUGUCAGUCUGACCACUUCGGUAUAGUAUUCUAAGCAGUAUGCCUUCUACCCUUUUCCGACCAUGGUCAAGUAUUCUCUGGACAGCAAAAAUCAAUCUUCUUCCAGCAUCAUCCUGGGCUCUCGAACGAGAACCCUCAGAAACCUGCUUGGAAGCAGUACCAGCAUGAGCAUUCUUUGAAGGAACCAAUCAAUCCUUGACAUAUACUCAUUGUGUAGACGAAGUCAUAACCAUCGGGUAUCCUUUAGAGGUAACUGUUCUACUCUUCUUCACCAUGGAUUCCGACGUAGAGCAUCUACAAUUUGUGAUUAAAAACUUCAAGAACACUAGAACAGCUCUCCUUCUAGCGCCAAUGUUAACGCCAAG